rnacentral:rRNA from 1 species
UACGAAGGGGGCUAGCGUUGCUCGGAAUCACUGGGCGUAAAGGGCGCGUAGGCGGACUUUUAAGUCGGGGGUGAAAGCCCAGGGCUCAACCCUGGAAUUGCCUUCGAUACUGAGAGUCUUGAGUUCGGAAGAGGUUGGUGGAACUGCGAGUGUAGAGGUGAAAUUCGUAGAUAUUCGCAAGAACACCAGUGGCGAAGGCGGCCAACUGGUCCGAUACUGACGCUGAGGCGCGAAAGCGUGGGGAGCAAACGGG